AAAACGACUCUCGGCAACGGAUAUCUAGGCUCUCGCAUCGAUGAAGACCGUAGCGAAAUGCGAUACUUGGUGUGAAUUGCAGAAUCCCGCGAAUCAUCGAGUUUUUGAACGCAAGUUGCGCCCGAAGCCAUUCGGCCGAGGGCACGUCUGCCUGGGUGUCACGC
rnacentral:rRNA from 1 species